ACAUGCAAGUCGACGGCAGCGCGGACUUCGGUCUGGCGGCGAGUGGCGAACGGGUGAGUAAUGUAUCGGAACGUACCAUUCAGUGGGGGAUAACGCAGCGAAAGUUGCGCUAAUACCGCAUAUUCUGUGCGCAGGAAAGCAGGGGAUCGCAAGACCUUGCGCUGAUUGAGCGGCCGAUAUCAGAUUAGCUAGUUGGUGAGGUAAAGGCUCACCAAGGCGACGAUCUGUAGCGGGUCUGAGAGGAUGAUCCGCCACACUGGAACUGAGACACGGUCCAGACUCCUACGGGAGGCAGCAGUGGGGAAUUUUGGACAAUGGGCGCAAGCCUGAUCCAGCCAUGCCGCGUGAGUGAAGAAGGCCUUCGGGUUGUAAAGCUCUUUCGGCCGGGAAGAAAUCGCAUGGGUUAAUACCCUGUGCGGAUGACGGUACCGGCAUAAGAAGCACCGGCUAACUACGUGCCAGCAGCCGCGGUAAUACGUAGGGUGCGAGCGUUAAUCGGAAUUACUGGGCGUAAAGCGUGCGCAGGCGGUUUUGUAAGACAGGCGUGAAAUCCCCGGGCUCAACCUGGGAACUGCGUUUGUGACUGCAAGGCUAGAGUACGGCAGAGGGGGGUGGAAUUCCACGUGUAGCAGUGAAAUGCGUAGAGAUGUGGAGGAACACCAAUGGCGAAGGCAGCCCCCUGGGUCGAUACUGACGCUCAUGCACGAAAGCGUGGGUAGCAAACAGGAUUAGAUACCCUGGUAGUCCACGCCCUAAACGAUGUCAACUAGGUGUUGGGUGGGUAAAACCAUUUAGUACCGGAGCUAACGCGUGAAGUUGACCGCCUGAGAGUACGCCGCAAGUUAAAACUCAAAGGAAUGACGGGACCGCACAGCGUGAUGAUGUGAUUAUUCGAUGCACGCGAAAUCUUACCUAC
rnacentral:rRNA from 1 species